rnacentral:rRNA from 1 species
GAUGAACGCUGGCGGCGUGCCUAAUACAUGCAAGUCGAGCGAACAGACGAGGAGCUUGCUCCUCUGACGUUAGCGGCGGACGGGUGAGUAACACGUGGAUAACCUACCUAUAAGACUGGGAUAACUUCGGGAAACCGGAGCUAAUACCGGAUAAUAUAUUGAACCGCAUGGUUCAAUAGUGAAAGACGGUUUUGCUGUCACUAAUAGAUGGAUCCGCGCCGCAUUAGCUAGUUGGUAAGGUAACGGCUUACCAAGGCAACGAUGCGUAGCCGACCUGAGAGGCUGGUCGGCCACACUGGAACUGAGACACGGUCCAGACGCCUACGGGAGGCAGCAGUAGGGAAUCUUCCGCAAUGGGCGAAAGCCUGACGGAGCAACGCCGAGUGAGUGAUGAAGGUCUUCGGAUCGUAAAACUCUGUUAUUAGGGAAGAACAAAUGUGUAAGUAACUAUGCACGUCUUGACGGUACCUAAUCAGAAAGCCACGGCUAACUACGUG